GCCCAAAUUCGCACGUGCCCGUGGUCGUUCAUGGGAUUUCGAUGAAAUCUCUUAAGGGGUAGCUGCCAAUAAACACCGCCAAGGGGCGGGGCAGUCAAUCCGGACGGCUUAAAGCAACGACGUAAGAGGGCCCUU
rnacentral:sRNA from 1 species